GACAGAGGGUGCAAACGUUGUUCGGAAUUACUGGGCGUAAAGCGCGUGUAGGCGGUCUUGCAAGUCGGAUGUGAAAGCCCUCGGCUCAACCGGGGAAGUGCACUCGAAACUGCGAGACUGGAGUCCCGGAGAGGAUAGUGGAAUUCUCGGUGUAGAGGUGAAAUUCGUAGAUAUCGAGAGGAACACCUGUGGCGAAGGCGGCUAUCUGGACGGUGACUGACGCUGAGACGCGAAAGCGUGGGGAG
rnacentral:rRNA from 1 species